rnacentral:lncRNA from 1 species
CUUUUUCUCUGUGCAUCCUCAGUGACGCGGGGCACAGCUCUGCCCGGGGGCCUACCAGAGCCCACCUGGACCCCACACUGGGUCAGCCCUGGUGCGGAGGAGGCCGCUGCGCGGCCAGGUCACAGUCGGCACCAGAAGUUUGGCAGAUCUCAGUGAGGCGUUAGUUUGCAUUUCCUUGUGACGGGUUUUGACUGGAAUGCCAGGCUUAACGUUGCUCAGAAGUUGCUUCUAUGAGGACGUCUCCCAGCAGCUGUCAGUGUUUCCAAUGAGUCAUCGCCAGCCCCUGCAAUGAGCCUCUCAGGCUGGUAAGUUUUGUUUCAGAACCGCUUCCUCAAGCUUCUUUUGCCUUUAAAAGCUUCCUCUUGCCCCAGCCUCCCAGGGAAUGCCUGUGGUCUGUCAUGGCUCACACAUCCUGGUUGAUAAUCCACUGCUGUUCUCCACGGAAUGCCUUCAUUUUGAGAGCUGCUCGCUGCCUGUUGUGGUUUCAGUUGACGGCCCACCGCUGUGUGCAGAGUUCACCAGCCGCUGUGGUGUGCAGUGCAGCAGCUGACCUGCCUGCCUUGUGGUUUUCUAAUCCCAUUGAGGG